CUCGAUUUCCCGGAUCAGACGACACAGUUUCGCUCCCUGCCGCUGAUAGCAGCGCACUCACUUUGGACUUUCAAACAUUUACAGGAGUAAAGUGAAGCUUCUUCCGCUCUACAGCAGAUCAAGUUUUCUCUCUGUAGUGGCCGGGCCGGAGAGGAGAAGAGCUGCUGGAGCAGAGCACUGGUGCAGAUCUGGAGCCGAAGGAGUGUGCGCUGGAAAGUGCAAAAAGUGAUAUUGUAGCAAAUAAACAAAGGCAAAACGCAAGUUUCUGCAUCAUGUCAGGUCCUUUGGGUUACAGUGGUGCUGAAACCCAAGCUCCUCAGAUGACCCUCAAGCAAUUCUGGAGGUGUUCCAGGGAACCACGGUCGCAUACUGGUGGAAGCCCAGGUGGUGGCACUGAGCCUUCUCACAACGGUGUACGUGUCCUUUCUGACGUUAGGAGAGCCAUCCUGGACUGGCUGGGGCUCUCCCCUGAGGACCAUCGGCACCCCUUCCAGAUGGGAUGGAUGGGGCCGGAGGACUGGCAUUGGCGUUUACCAGGAGGCUGCAUGGUGCUGCAGCCAGGUGGCUACAGCCUGCCCCCACGCCAGGGGCGAUGCAGCUGCUCAAGACGGUAGUGCUGGAGCAAUUCAUGAAGGGACUUCCAGUCGGGAUGGCGCAGUGAGUCUGCUGCCAUCGGCUGGCAAGCCUCGAGGCUGCGGUGACGCUGGCCUAGGACCACCUGGGAGCGCAAUUGGAACAUCCACGGGAACGUCCACCAGUGACGGGCUGACCGGUCCCAGCCCCCACCAGCCCAACCCACAGCCAUGGAGCGGAAGCCAUUUCUGCCUCAUUUGUCUCACACACUAAAAGAUUACUGGGCAAUAAAUCUAUUCGGACCAGCAUCUACCACCCUCAGACUGACUGGUGGAGCGGCUGAAUAAGACUUUAAAGUCCAUAAUUAUCUCCAGGAUCUACAGGCAGGAUGUCUGCCACUGUGUCCAAGGCUGAUGGAGUCACAAUACUCACUUUGACCUCUGACCCUAAUAGCCCUUGGCCUCCUCUGUGCCAGAUCCUCAAGAACCUUUGCUGCAGUCCAGUGUGCUGCAAAGUGUCUCAGCACCUGAGGCGCCUCAAAAGACCUUCUGAGAUAGUGCUGGGGACUCUGCAGAUCAUGAUUGGGCUUCUCAAUGUUGUCCUCGGAUCAAUCCUUAUAAGCCAACAUGAUGAAUCAUGGACCAUGAGUUAUACCGGCUAUCCUUGUUGGAUGGGAGGGUUGUUCAUCGUGUUUGGAAUUGUCAGCAUUUUGUCUGACAAGUAUCCAAGUCCAUGUCUGGUUAUCAUCAAUGUGAUUCUGAAUCUGACUGGGGUUGCUUUUGCCAUUGCAGCCAUUGUGCUGUAUAGCAUCAGUGUAUCUAAUAUAUAUUGGUCGGAAAUUUGUGAGGAAUGCUACGGCGGUGAAACACUAAUUAUGGUAAGUGUAGGUAAGGGUAGUUCAGGUUAAAAUACCUAACUGACAAGUGGAAAAUAUACGGUUUUAAUUGUUUCGUAGAUAUGAUCACAGGUUUCUGCUUCUGAAAUCUGUGGAUUUGCAGCUGGUGAUCAGAUAAUAGUGUAUGUAGGUUUUUGACUGUAGGAUGAUGUUGCGAUCACAGUCACGUCUGUACAGAAGUCUCUGCCCGCUCUCCGUUCAAAGGCUCUGAGCCUGAGUCAAAGGGAUAUUACUACAAUAAAAUUGAACACUGUUGUUUGUAUCCCAACAGAUGCUCUACAGAAGCAUCAUUGCUGUGCUAAUUGUGCUGUCAGUCCUGGAGCUCUGUGUCACCAUCAGCUCAGUCGUCUUAGGGAUCAAGAGUCUGAAGAGCAAAGAAAAGGGACAAACCAAGAGCACUGAUGACCCAGAGCUCUACAAACCACUUCUAGAGGAAGAUACCACUGAGCCUACAGUCUGAAUGUAAUUGUGCUGUGAAGCAUUGUAAGCAUGGGCCUUUACAGCUUUGACUCUGUACUGCAACAUUAUCAUGCACUUCUCUUGCAUUUUUUAUUACUUUGUUGUUUUGCUUUGGUUUUGGUUUUUUUGUUUGUUUGUUUUUACUAUAUUGGUCCAUGUUACAUGAAAAUAACAGAAUCUGUUGCACAUUUCAUCAGCAUUUGACUACAGACGUGAGGGCUGUAUGUCUUUAGUCAUUGAAGGUGAGGCACUGAGGCAACACUGUCUAUAUACUUUUGGCAGUGAUGUUAUUAUUUUAGUUGUGACCAUCAAGUGUGCAUGAGGUUAGGUACAGUGUGUUUUAGUGGCAAAAGCAACCACUUCUAAUAUUAUAACUAUGCUUAAAAAGGUUAUCACGUUUUUAAGCAUAGUUAUUAUUAGAAUAAACGUAUUUAAAAUUCUAUAAUGAUAUGUAAUUUGAAGCCAUCUUCAAGCUUUUGAGAUCAUGCAUAUACUGUAUAUAGAAAUAUGAUCCAUGAUGUCAAGAGAUGGGUUAUGAACUCUUUUUGUGAAGCUGCGGGCUGAGUGUUUUUGUCAUUGUGGUGUCUUGAAAUGACUCAAGAGUUUUUCAAGUUUCGUCUCCUUUAUUAGUGCUAGUACGACUGGACUGAGGACGAUCUGCAGGGCAGUUUGGACAGAUACUAGAACCUUUUUGAAUGGUUAUGACAACUUCCCGUGCUGUGGAUUUUUGGAUGACAUGUAUACCUAUACCCCAAGUGGAGGAGUUUAAGUAUCUCGGGGUCUUGUUCACGAGUGAUGGGAGAAGGGAGCGGGAGAUCGACAGACUAAUUGGUGAAGCGGCCGCAGUACCGGCCUGUUGUGGUGAAGAGAGAGCUGAGUGUAAAAGCAAAGCUCUCAAUUUACCGGUCACGAGCUGUGGGUAGUGACCGAAAGAACGAGAUCGCGGAUACAAGCAGCAGAAAUGGGCUUCCUCUGUAG